rfam:Polymorphum gilvum SL003B-26A1, complete genome.
UGCCGGGUUCUCCAAAUCCCGGGGUUACUGAAGAGGCACUUGUUACUUCAUUGCCGGCCGUGCGGAUCGGAUCCCCCGUUCCAAGCCAAGGCAUCACACGCGGGAAAGCGACCGGCCCCUGCCGCGCGCUCGACCGUUCGCCGUCGU